UACGGAGGGUGCAAGCGUUAUCCGGAUUUACUGGGUUUAAAGGGUGUGUAGGCGGGCCUUUAAGUCUUGGGUGAAAUCUCCGAGCUCAACUCGGAAACUGCCCUGGAUACUAUUGGUCUUGAAUUAUGUUGAGGUUGGCGGAAUAUAACAUGUAGCGGUGAAAUGCAUAGAUAUGUUAUAGAACACCGAUUGCGAAGGCAGCUAACUAAGCAUAUAUUUACGCUGAGGCACGAAAGCGUGGGGAUCAAACAGG
rnacentral:rRNA from 1 species